rnacentral:lncRNA from 10 species
AAACAGUUCUCAUUUUGUGUGCUCGGCUGACUGCACGUCCAGCCUCGGGCCAGCUCGAGACGGCCACAUUACUCAGAUGGUGUAGCCUUCUACACACCUUGGAUAUAUGGUAUAGCCUAUUCCUGCUAGGCUACAAACUCGUGCAGCAUGUUAUGGUACUGAAUACUGCAGGCAAUUGUAGCACACUGGCCUGGUUGAAGAUGGCUGAGCGUAAAACAGAAUGCAAGUCAGCUGGAGCACGUACUACUGGAGGCAGAGCCCCAUGAGAAGGGGCCAAGAACCCGCACCCAUCAAAAUCAAGAAGAAAGGCUGAACCCGGAGAGAAAAGGGAGCACUGUUCACAGUAGCAAUGACAUGGAGUCAACCUAAAUGUCCAUCAAUGAUAGACUGGAUAAAGAAAAUGUGGUACAUAUACACCAUGGAAUACUAUGCAGCCAUAAAAAGGAAUGAGAUCAUGCCCUUUGCAGGGACAUGGAUGGAGCUGGAAGCUAUUAUCUUCAGCAAAAGAAUGCAGGAACAGAAAACCAAAUACUGGAUGUUCUCACGU